GAUGAACGCUGGCGGCGUGCCUAAUACAUGCAAGUCGAGCGAACGGACGAGAAGCUUGCUUCUCUGAUGUUAGCGGCGGACGGGUGAGUAACACGUGGAUAACCUACCUAUAAGACUGGGAUAACUUCGGGAAACCGGAGCUAAUACCGGAUAAUAUUUUGAACCGCAUGGUUCAAAAGUGAAAGACGGUCUUGCUGUCACUUAUCGAUGGAUCCGCGCUGCAUUAGCUAGUUGGUAAGGUAACGGCUUACCAAGGCAACGAUGCAUAGCCGACCUGAGAGGGUGAUCGGCCACACUGGAACUGAGACACGGUCCAGACUCCUACGGGAGGCAGCAGUAGGGAAUCUGCCGCAAUGGGCGAAAGCCUGACGGAGCAACGCCGCGUGAGUGAUGAAGGUCUUCGGAUCGUAAAACUCUGUUAUUAGGGAAGAACAUAUGUGUAAGUAACUGUGCACAUCUUGACGGUACCUAAUCAGAAAGCCACGGCUAACUACGUG
rnacentral:rRNA from 1 species